rnacentral:rRNA from 1 species
UGGCUGUCGUCAGCUCGUGUUGUGAAAUGUUGGGUUAAGUCCCGCAACGAGCGCAACCCUUAUCCUUUGUUGCCAGCGGUUAGGCCGGGAACUCAAAGGAGACUGCCAGUGAUAAACUGGAGGAAGGUGGGGAUGACGUCAAGUAAUCAUGGCCCUUACGAGUAGGGCUACACACGUGCUACAAUGGCGCAUACAAAGAGAAGCGACCUCGCGAGAGCAAGCGGACCUCAUAAAGUGCGUCGUAGUCCGGAUUGGAGUCUGCAACUCGACUCCAUGAAGUCGGAAUCGCUAGUAAUCGUAGAUCAGAAUGCUACGGUGAAUACGUUCCCGGGCCUUGUACACACCGCCCGUCACACCAUGGGAGUGGGUUGCAAAAGAAGUAGGUAGCUUAACCUUCGGGAGGGCGCUUACCACUUUGUGAUUCAUGACUGGGGGAAGUCGAAGCAAGGAAG